rnacentral:rRNA from 1 species
AUGGACAACGAAAUCUUGUUUAUUACCUGCCAAGCUGGUUCAAAAUCAUUUAUCUAUAAAACCACUCUCACGGAUCUGAGUCCAAAGAUAAAAACAACCCCUCCUCUCAAACCACAUUACAUUGUACAUGGAGAUCGGUAUGGAGAUGAUGAUGGUGAGAGGCACUUUUUUCGCAGUGGCUCGAAACUAUAUGUUGUCUCAUCAUUCCAAAAAGAUGGCAUACAUGAGCUUAAUCUAGACACCAGAUUUCAGAAUUUCGAUCACCUUGCACGGUGGCCGGUUUCUGCUUCCUAUGUUGAUCCUUUUGUUAUGGUUAUCCAAGUUGGCUCAGCAACUCUUGCUCUUACUGAAACUCUCCAAGUUUACCGGAGGACCCACCUUGUUCAUCCUAUUGGGUCCACCUCAUGGGUGCGCUGCCGCACAGAUCAGUCUCAGGUUCUUGACAGGAAGGUCAAGUUGUCGGGAUAUGUGGCAGUGGGUGAUGAUUCUUUUAUAGUCUGUGAUACUGUCACAUGUUCCUGUCUUAAGUUUGACCUUCGUGCCAAGCAGUGGCAUGUUGUCAUGCCUUGGGCUCCAUGGGGGAAAUACCUGCAAAUGGAUAUGCAUAGAAACGGCCUUCUAAAUGGCAGAUGUGUAUUUAUUGACGGUUUUAUCUACACAUGCACUCGAAAUGGGCUUGCUGCUUAUGAACUACUCCGUGAAGAUCAUUGUGUGUACCUCGGCAUCUCAAUCUUUUUGCCAUUCUCAUGGGAGACUCAAAAUGAUUGGGAGGUUGAAAGAAUGUGUUUGGAUUAUGCUGGCAAAGACGUCAACUCGGGCGCCAUCUUGUUUUGGGUGGUUCAAGGUUUGCAGAUUAGAUAUAGACCCCCCAAGAAUCAGCUAUAUAUCACCGCUGUCAAGUUCGAGAUUAAGAAAACGCACGACAAGAGCAUGGAACCGGUGCGAAUUAACCGUGUGGUCUGUGCCAAGCGUAGCAUUCAUCAAGAGGAAGCAAUUGAGGUCAUGGGCAGAGACUGA